rnacentral:rRNA from 1 species
GUGGCACGCUUAACACAUGCAAGUCGGACGGCAGCAUGACCUAGCUUGCUAGGUUGAUGGCGAGUGGCGGACGGGUGAGUAAAGCGUAGGAACCUACCCUUGAGACGGGGACAACUUGGGGAAACUCGGGCUAAUACCGGAUAAGACCUUAGGGUGAAAGGGUGCGAAAGCACUCGCUGAAGGAUGGGCCUACGUUAGAUUAGCUAGAUGGUGAGGUAAAGGCUCACCAUGGCGACGAUCUAUAGCUGUUCUGAGAGGAGGACCAGCCACACUGGAACUGAGACACGGUCCAGACUCCUACGGGAGGCAGCAGUGGGAAAUUUUGGACAAUGGGCGCAAGCCUGAUCCAGCAAUGCCGCGUGCAGGAUGAAGGCCUUCGGGUUGUAAACUGCUUUUGUACAGAACGAAACGGCUCUUUCUAAUACAAGGGGCUAAUGACGGUACUGUAAGAAUAAGCACCGGCUAACUACGUGCCAGCCGCCGCCGUAA